rnacentral:lncRNA from 1 species
UUUUUUUUGGUCUUUUUUUUAGGGCCACAUGUGUGGCAUGUGGAGGCUCCCAGGCUAGGGGUUGAAUUGGAGCUACAGCUACCAGCCUACAGCACAGCCACAGCAACUCAGGAUCCGAGCCUCAUCUGCGACCUACGUCACAGCUGAGGGCAAUGUCAGAUUCUUAACCCACUGAGUGAGGCCAGGAAUUGACCCUGCAUCCUCAUGGAUGCUAGCCAGAUUCAUUCCCGCUGAGCCAGGAUGGGAACUCCUGCCUUGUUGUUCUUUAUCAGUGAGUCUGACAGAAUCUUUUGGGAUGUGUGGCUGACCAAUCUGCUCUCUGAACCAUCACCCAAAACUGUUCAGACAAAUGGAAACGUUUCCCUGAAGGAAGGGGUAGCCUCAUUGACUAACAUGCAGUCAUGAUCAUCUUUAUCCCCUUGGACCUUAAUUUAAGAGUGAGAGAGAUCAGGAGCACAGAAGCAAAAAUGUUUAAGCCAGGGCUUUGGGAAGCAAACAUACAUAAUAACAGCAUGGUCUCUGGCUCGGGCAGAUGAAGGCAAAGAGGAGAGGAUAAACUUUCACUGGCAAAUCUGAGGUGGUUGCCGAGAUGGGAAAACAAGACUAGUAACCAGAAUGUGGACUGUCUGUCUUCUUUCUCCUCUAAAGCUCAGUGACUUAUCCAGAGCGCUGGUUUUUCCUCUUCAGUUCAAGAUGUAAGGAGAAUUCAGAAUAAAACAGAUGAGAAACUUUUUUUUUUAAGAAAAACAUUUUUUUUCUUUUGUCUUUUUAGGGCCGCACUUUCGGCACAUGGAGGUUCCCAGGCUAGGGGUCGAAUCGGAGCUGUAGCCACCGGCCUACACCAGAGCCACAGCAACGUGGGAUCCGAGCCGCAUCUGCAACCUACACCAGAGCUCACAGCCAGAUCCUUAACCCACUGAGCGAGGCCAGGGAUUGAACCUGCCACCUUAUGGUUCCUAGUCAGAUUCGUUUCCACUGUGCUAAGACGGGAACUCCAAGAAAAAUUUGUUUUUUAAUGGCAUUUCUCUUGCCUGUUUCAGGAGUUGCUACUUGCUCCCCUGACUCAUUUUAAAAAUUUAGAGACUUGCUCCUAGUAAGUAUGUAUUCAUCAGACUUGGGAAUGAAUUUUUAACACUUUCAUAUUCUUAGCAAAGGGGAUAUUUUCUUUGGAAGCUGGCCAUUAAUAAUUAUAUGGAUGGCACUCAAUAGGAAAGAAGAUUUUUAGAAAAACAAAGACUGCAGUUUAGGCAUUGAAUUCAUAAUCUCUACCUUCUUUCAAAAUCUAUUGCUGUUUUCUUUUGGAAAUGAUAGCUUUUUUCUUGUUCCUUAGAACUUGGGUCGUUUGAAGACCUGCCACCAUCUGGGGGCUAACCAUGGCAAAAUGGGUUUUUUUUUCCAGCACUGUAUUGCUUUAAAAAUAUACUAAAAGUAUCAUUUAUCAAAACGUCUAUUAAUGGUUUAGGCCCCCUUAGCUCCAUGACUGAACUUGCAAGUGGCUUUACCCCAAAUUCAGAAUGUGAAACUUUGACAGCCGAUGGGAGAAGGGUAAGAUGAAAUCCAUUCAUGGACUGGUCCAUCUUUUCAUCCUUCACAAUGACAGAAAUCUCAGGUACUGCCAAUGUGGUUUAAACUGCAUUUGUAUAUAAACAUGGCUUCACCAUAUUGCCUGAUCUUUCCAAUUUUGAGUGGACGGUAUUUUUCAACUUGAUGACAACAAAUUGUAAAUUGGAGCUGUUCUCAAAUUUGGGUGCAUCAGGAUGAGUUUAUAUGGAUAGCAAAUGUUGACUGCUAGCAGCAAAAUAACUUUUCCCCAAGGAGUCAAAACACUGACCAAGAAGAGUACACUAACUAAUCAACUCCUACAAUUAGCCACGUAGAUGGUUGGAAUUUAGGGGACGGGGUCAUGGUAGGUAUCCUAGGGGGAUAAUUCAGGGUGAUCAAGUCUGCACUUGAAAUGUGAACGAGUGGGUUCUUCUGAGCUGAAAGACCUGGAUGGCAAGGGUGGGUGAAGUACUUGGGGCCCUGGGUCUUCCCAGGUCUAGAGUUGUUCUGGAAGACAAACUCUUUUCCCACUCCCUGCAGGCAGUAAUGGAGGCUGACUCACAGGUUCAAGGUCACUUGAACUGGGUUGGCCUUGGACGUGGUGAUGGUGCUUCUCAGUGUUCUUAUUCUACCUCGGGCUCUAGGAAAGGUCAAAUGAAGUCAUGUAUCUGAAAGAAACAUACUUUCUUAUACAAGUGAAAGGGUCAGUGUUUAGCCCCCCACCACCAGGACUAUGGUGUUAAGAUGCAGUCUAAAAAUAACUUAGUGCAUCUCAACAAAGGAAGCAACUAAUUUUUUUCCCAUGACACAUAUAUUCCCAGUUUGUCUUCACCCUCAGACAAAGACCAUAAUGUUUUCUAUGUGGGAAAAAAAACUGCAUUUUGUGGUUAGUGGACACUUUAAAAUACCUACGUACCUACCAGUUCUAAAGCAAGGAUUUUGCCAUGUCAGAGGUGGAACAUCAGAAAUUUUGUCCUGGCAUGAGAGGCAGGAUGGAGUGGGAAGGGGUGCAGAGGGGCUGGCCAAGGGCUUUGGCACAAGGAGGCAGCGUGUGCUGUGUCAAACUGCAGGGGCUCCCAGUUGCCUUUUCCCAAGGUACAAGGCUGCUCUUUGCCAGGCCCUCAUCACAGUGGUCACGGUAGCAAAAAGAGGGAGGAAGUUAGGAUUACAGUCAUUCAGUGCUUUGGGCCUGGCCUGGGCAUGCCAGGAGGCAGAGUGAGAGUUGGAUAACACUUCAUUAUAUUUUGAUCAGAGGCAAGGUUAGUUUAAGGGUAUUGUCUUUUUAUAUUCAAGUCUUCCAUAAGAAUGAUUUCUGGGGAGAUAUGACUUCUUGCCCUGCUACGAUUUUAGUUGCCCAGUGUCAAUGUGUGAGUUUGUGGGGCUGAUGGAAGAGCUUGACCUGAUGGCGAUGGAAGGUGAAAUCUGCUUUUCCCAACUGUUAAAACUGGAGGCCAAAGGCUGCAUCUGCCCAUGUACAGGUUCUCUUUGGUCUGCACAGUAUUGGCCAAGAAUUUGAGUUUAGCUUAAUAUUUCCAAGUCAUCCUAUUUCCAAGUCAGAAGGUCUAGCAGCCCGGGGCCUGAUUUCUGCAUGGUUCUGAUUGUCUAGAGCAAGGUCCCCUCUUGAAAUGGGGCAUGCAUUCUCUGGUUCAUUAUGGUCUCCACCAUUCUCUAAUGUCCUUCUUUUGCCUGAUCUGAAUCGUUCAUUUACAGAAUCUGCCUGGUAUUUCUAAGGCAUCUACUAUAUACCACUAGGAGGCUUCUAUUUAAGUAUGAAGCAAGACUCUUUUGGUUCAAAACCAUGCAGCAAUAAAUACUUCUUGAGAACUUUAAUGCCAACAAUAGAUAUUCCAAGAGAAUGAAGACAGAGUUGCAGGCUGCCUCAUCUCAGAGAUAAGGCUGUACAUGUUUUUCCCUAACUCUGUGCAUUUCUAGUCCUCAUGUAUGCAGAUUCUAAAGCUUAUUUGAAAGCAAAGUCUGAGUGACCCUCCGACCAUCUCAUAGGAGUUGCCCGAUGGGUCUAUCUCAGCUUUUCUUUUGAUGUUAUCUGAAUACUUCACUAAUUAGUCUAGUUUUUGAAUGACUAAAAUCUUAGAAAGAAGCUUUCUUGCUUUAACAGUGAGUGGGCUAGAAAAAACUAGGGCAUUAUGAAAUGGUUUUGGCAAAGCUCAGAAUUUUUGUGUGGCUAAUAAACUUUCCAUGGAUCCCUUCCUUGUUUUCUGGCCCUUGAGAAUACAGUGAGUUUUUUCAUCUCAAACUUGCAUAUCUAUGAAUUCUUCAGGUGAAAAAUCAAGCACUUGUUCUCAUAAUAAAAGGAAAGUUAUUUAGUCAGUGCUGAAGACAAAAUUAUUUUAAAUGUUACUGAUCACCUAAGAAUUCUCUUUGGACUUUCAUACCGCAAUUUUAGAAAUUUCCAUCAAAUAGUACUUGUUAAUUAAAUGCAGCUUUGUGGUUCUAGUAGGCUGACCAAUAAGCUUGUCCUUGCGACAGAAUCUAUCAUUUUACACUAAAGAAUUUACACGUAGAGUUCUCCCAUUGCCUAUAAGCAUAUCUAUUAACAUUUUGAAGAUUUAAGAUGUAUAGCAAUGAUUCUUCAAGCAUCUUUUUUUUUCCAAAAUAUUUUGAAAACAAUCUGGUUAUGAUAAAAGUAGCUGUUGUCAUCUUGAUUCUCUUGUAAUAAUCUUUCCAUUCGAUCUGCAUUUCUACCCUUGCUGCAGAGGAUUGACUGAAAAGAUAUGCAUCAAAACAUUUGUUUAAAAGAGGCAUAGCCCUUUGUUUGGAGAGCAGGAAUUGCUUAUUAACACUUCCUGUCUGAUAAAAUAUUGUAUUUUAAAAAAUAAGCUACAAUGUAUAAAACCAAGGUCAUUUCCCACAAAAUGUUCAUAUUCUUUGUGAUUACAAAACACUGCAUCUUGUAAAAUAUUUCCAGUUCUGCUAACUUGAGAAGUUAAGUACUAAUGCGUAUUAUAAAAGUGCCACAUCUCUCAGAAUUGUGGAAGCCUAAGCAGUAUAUUUCUUGUCUUAUUUGGAAAAUUAAGUUAUAAUCAUUCUUGUAUUUAAGAUUACAUUUUGACACAACACAUUGCCAUUGUGAUUCUCAGACUCACAAGAAAAGUUAUAAAACAUGAGAUUGUCUUCAAAAAAAGAGGAACUAUUUACAAAACAGGACCAGAAGUAAAAUUCCCAUUUUCAUUUCUGGUCCUUUGAUAGAUACACCUUUUAAAGCAUGUAUAUCAUUGGAUCUGGGCUUUUUCAAAGUCAGUCACGAGAAGCAAACCAGUUGGUCUUAAACACAUCCUUUCUUGCUCUAUGGGUGUGCCUUACUUAGUGACACAAUUGGUACCUAGAAGUGCUAAUCUCAUGGUAUUUACUGACUUCUGGUUUGACUAGCUACAAUGCAAAAGACAGAAGGAAACAGUUCUGCUAUGGAGGCACCCCCACAGGGGCAGGGGUGGGGAGAGCGUGUGUGCCGCUGGUUGGGUUAUUUUCUUAAGAGAAAUGAAAUUUCCAGUUGACCCGUGGGCCCAGCGCAUUCUCCAGAAUGAUCCACGUCCUCAUCCAUAUUCAUGAUGUCUGCUUUGUUUCCACUCAUUUGUAUGUACACAUUCUUCCCUGCGUUCAUACAGGUCAGAGCUACAGUUGAUGUGGUCAAUAGAAACUCUACAGGGUCAUGAAGAAAAGCAGCACCUUGUCCACAAAUGUCCAUGGAAGUUUGCUCCUUAACAUGCUAUUAAAGCAAAAUGCACAUCUUUCGUGUCCUUCACCUACAGAAUUCUGCGGAUAGCUAAUAACCAGCUGUUCAUCCAGUUGAUUAUAAAAAAGGAACACCAAGGUGUCAUACUCAACAACUACAUUCAGAAACAGCCUGAUGUGAGUCUGGGAACACCCACGAGGGACUGCACUGCGGUUCAGAUGUCAGCCUCAGACUAGGUCUAAGAUACAAAGAAACUGCUCUGUUUCAUAGAACAUUCCUCCACACCUCAAAAAGUCGGUACCGUCCAGUUCAUGGCAACUUGUCUUGAAAUGCUAUGAUGUUCAUUCAAAGACAAACAAACAAACAAACAAAGAACUGUUCUGCUAGAAAAGACGCUGGAGAUAAUAAAAGCCUUUCUAGUCUUAGGAACCUCCAGAUCUAUUUUUCACAUACCCUUUAGUUUUCCCUGAGGAAAUGAAUAUUUUUUUACAGUAUUUUGCUACUAUUCUCAAGGUAAUCUCUCUCAUACACACAACCCUUGCCACUCUUCUCUAAACAUUCCCAAAUGAAUGCUGCGCUUUCCUUUUCCAUUGAAGUCAGGUGACGGCAGAAAUGGGUUCUGCAGUGCUGGCUCAUUCAGAACCCAGGGCUGCUU